CCAUUUCUUGAUUGUGCCAACAAUGUAACAUAAACAACUUCCUGAAUUUCUACUUUGAGCUUUGUUUUGGCUUUUUAUGUUAUUUAAUCCUCACACUAGUGUUAUGAAAUAGGUCUUAGAUGCAGUUUACAGAGUAGAAUAUGAAGUUAAAAAGUGGUAAUUUGCCUAAGGUCACACAGCAAGUAAAUGGGAAAGCUAGGAUUUGAAUUUAUAUGCUAACUCCCACACUGUUUCUCUUAAGGAAGCCAGAAUGCCAAGCUGUUAAUUAAUCUUGAGAGUUAUAAUUAUCAGAAUGAUCAGAUUGAAGUCCUGCCUCAGGUACCUAUUAUGAAGAAAUAUUGGACAUUUUCUAUCAACUAGCUGCAUUUUGAACAAUAAAUCAAGUUUUAACUGAUAGCAUUCUUUGUUUAGCUGUAGUAAUACUAUUCAUCACUUCUUUUUUUAAGUUUAAUCCUUUUAAAAUUUAUUACUUUUAAAGGGCAUUUCUUGUAUCUUUGGUUUUCAUUUAUCCAGUCAAAAACAAAUAAUAUAAGGAGUUUCUAUUAUAGGCAGUAUUGUUUCCUUUACUUCUAUUUUAUGUUUUAUUUUAUUUUAUUUUAUUUUAUUUUUUCUUUUGAGACAGGAUCUCACUCUGUCACACAGGCUGCAGUGCGGUGGCGCAACUGUGGCUUACUGCAUCCUCAAACUCCUGGGCUCAAACAGUUCUCCCACCUCCUCAGCCUCCUGAAUAGCUGGGACUACAGGCGCACGCCACCACGCAUGGCUGAUUUAUUUUUGUGUGAAGACCGGGUCUCACUAUAUUGUCCAGGGUGGUCUUAAACUCCUGGGCUCAAAAUAUGAAAAUAAUAUUGAUAUAAGAAUGAUAUCUAUACAUCUCAUUUAGAUUUUGCCAGUUGUCGUAAUCUAAUCCCUUAAAGAAAAGAAAAACUAUUCUUUUCCUGAAUCAGGGUCUAGUCCAGGAUUUUAUGUUGCUUGUAGUUGUCAUGUAAAUCAGCACCUCUCUAACCUUAACCCCUCUUUAGUCUCUCGUGUUUUAUUAUGGGUUUUUUUCUCUUAGUGAGAACCAGCACUUCU
rnacentral:lncRNA from 1 species